GACGAACCGUGCGAACGUUAUUCGGAAUCACUGGGCUUAAAGGGUGCGUAGGCGGUCGGGUAAGUCUGAUGUGAAAUCUCACAGCUUAACUGUGAAACUGCAUUGGAUACUAUUUGGCUAGAGAGUUGGAGGGGGGAGUGGAAUUCUUGGUGUAGCAGUGAAAUGCGUAGAUAUCAAGAGGAACACCAGUGGCGAAGGCGAGUCCCUGGACAACUUCUGACGCUGAGGCACGAAAGCGUGGGGAGCAAACAGG
rnacentral:rRNA from 1 species